GAAGACGCUCCUCCCCACCAUCCCCCGCGACCAGCGGUGGAUGUUCGAAGAAUCUGAGAUCAAUGGACCGGACAUCUGGAACAAUACUUGGUAUCCGAAGGCUGCGGACCAUGUGAACACGGAGAAAAUCUGGUAUAUAGUUGAUGCGACCGACAAAAUUCUUGGAAGACUAGCAUCAACUAUCGCGAUACAUAUCCGAGGAAAGAAUCUUGCUACAUAUACACCUAGCGUGGACAUGGGGGCGUUUGUGAUUGUGGUGAAUGCAGAAAAGGUUGCAGUCUCUGGUAAAAAGAGGACCCAGAAACUCUACAGAAGGCAUUCGGGAAGGCCAGGAGGGAUGACGGUGGAAACAUUCGAUCAGCUUCAACAGAGAAUUCCAGAAAGA
rnacentral:misc_RNA from 1 species